GCUGAAGUGGUGGAACUGGUAGACACGCUGUCUUGAGGGGGCAGUGGGCUUUCGCUCGUGGGGGUUCGAGUCCCCCCUUCAGCACCA
rnacentral:tRNA from 1 species